GGCCGACUAGCUCAGUUGGUUAGAGCGUGGUGCUAAUAUCCUUGUUACGCCAAGGUCGUCGGUUCGACCCCGGCGUUGGCCA
rnacentral:tRNA from 1 species